UUUGCGCAUGGGGGAAANCCUGACGCAGCAACGCCGCGUGAGUGAUGAAGGCCUUCGGGUCGUAAAGCUCUGUCAGARGGAAAGAARUGUUCNNUGGYUAAUACGCANNGAACUUGACGGUACCCUCAAAGGAAGCACCGGCUAACUCCGUGCCAGCAGCCGCGGUAAUACGGAGGGUGCGAGCGUUGUUCGGAAUUAUUGGGCGUAAAGCGCGUGCAGGCGGUCUKUYAAGUCUGAUGUGAAAKCCCCGGGCUCAACCUGGGAAGUGCAUUGGAAACUGGGAGACUUGAAUACKGGAGRGGGMAGUGGAAUUCCUGGUGUAGGAGUGAAAUCCGUAGAUAUCAGGAGGAACACCGGUGGCGAAGGCGGCUUCCUGGACAGAUAYUGACGCUGAGACGCGAAAGCGUGGGGAGCAAACAGGAUUAGAUACC
rnacentral:rRNA from 1 species